GCAAAACGAAACUGACUGAACAUAACACAAAGCAAAAAAGCAAAGAAAAUAAAAGAAGCCUCGGCAAAACCAGAGAUGACGAUUUCAGUUCUCAUGUGAGAAAACAAAACGGGCCCUCAAACCAACAGGGCGAUCCGAUGGUAGAGUUGAGUUCAUCGUUCUCUGGUAUGAAGCAUAAGAGACUCUUGUAAUGGAUCUUGGUGGAAGAAACUAAAGGGGCAUAUCACGAUUCACCGCCUCCAAUAUGCCUUUAGGCGAUGACUUCCGCAGAAAAAGCGCCUGCAACAUAAUUAUUCAUCUGCACCCCACGUCCCAUUACCAGCCCAGAUUUGUUUCUAAUAACAAACCCAGAGCACGAACGAUGUUGGUCUAGCUUAAAUGUCGCAUCAAAAUUAAUCUUGACGUUCUGCCCUUUUGGAGGUAGCCAUUAAGAGAUCAUUUGAUCUUGUUUCACUAGUAAUUUUUGGUUACAUAUAAUUCCUUAAGCAGACUUUCAAUUUUAGAACAGAUUUCCAAAAUUGAUUGAUCUUUUCCCUCCAUUACAAAUUGAUUUCGAGCGUGCCAAAUGGAUCAUAGAGUUAUCAGAAUUCUACGACAGGUACGCCCAUCAUUCCUUAGAAAAAUAUCUUCAAACCAGAUCCAGAUAUUCUCGUAUCGAUUAUCUGUUGGCCAUAUGUUCAUUUUUUUCCAAACUUACUGUGCAAGACCACACCAUAGUAGCACUUGUAUUGUAGACUCUGGACACAAUUUGCACCUUGGACAUAUUGGUGAUUGCGCUAUCUGUCUGUUGUAUAGAACAUAGGUAGUAGGGAGAUAAUUAUGUAGAACACGCCAGGAUGUAAUCUUUAUUUUGGAGGGGAUUUUUUGUUGCCAAAUUUUCUUGUAUAUUUCUAUUGUAUCAGUAGCAUUACUGUAUGUAGUAGUUGACCUAUAAGAGUCCUAUACCCACUCCGAACGGUAUACUCGCUUGUUCUGUCGCCAACCCGUAUGAGUCUUUCAUCCUCCACCAAUCAAGAGAGUGGCAUGCAUCUGAUUGUUGUAGCAUCUUCCCUAGAGAAAACUUUGCCCAUUUUGGAAGCUAUCGAUCUGUCCAGACUGAGAUUUUGGAUCCAAAGCCUACUCUCCAACCGACUCCAUCUUCCAGCAUCUUUCUAGCCGCAAAGAUGCUUCGCCAAACCGAGCCGUAAUAUCAAACUGAAAACUCAGGGCUUCUUAAUGGAAGUGAGCAGUUCCCACCUGAUCAGCAGAAAGAAGAGUAAGCAGAAGUAAAGCGAGGUCUGGUAGUGUAAAUCCUCUUAAUACAGAGAGGGCUGGAAAUUAACAAAGGAAACAAUAAUGAUAGAAUCGGAGCCUCUAUAGUCAUUUGCAGGACAAUACAAGUCCAAUCUGGGAUCCCACCUCCUAUCCUCCCGAUCAGGUUUGGGAGUGAACCAACUUCUCCAUUUUAUUGCGUCUUAAUGCUUGUAGGAAACGGAGGAAUAUCAUUGAAGGAGUAACAUGCUCAAUUGGGAAGCCUCAACCGGCAAUGGAGGAAAUCUCGCCCCUCCACCACAGCCAUAUCCAUUUAUCAAAUAGUCCUCAACUUUCUCCUAUUUUUGUCGGUAAAUUGAUCAUUAUAUAAAACAUUUUAGUAUUUGUAUUAUUUUUUAAUUUUCAAAACUUUGAUACUCAAUUUUUUGUAUUUUUAAAUUUUAGAAAAUAUUUUUAGCUUUUUAAGUGGUGAUAUGGUAACAUCAUUAUAUUCUUUAAUUGAAAAUAAAAUUAGAUCUAAUUAUAAA